AUGGCUGCGACCUGCGAGUGCUACGCCCAGCACAUGCGAGACGACAUUGCAGAAAACCUCUACCACCUGCCCUAUGUCAUGCCCCGGCGAAUAGCUGUCAUUGGAGAUGAAGUCUACUUCACACUUCGGUCCGCUCACAAAAUCGUCAAGUACAACCUGCCAAACAACUGCCUAUCCAUGAUUAACCCGCCGCCACACACUAGGAGCCCAAUUGCUCUCAUGGUGAUGGAGGACAGUUCGCUGGGGUUUGCCUGCACUGAGAGUUCUACUCUUUAUCUGUGGUCAAGGAAGGUGAAUUCAGAAGCAGCUGCUGAAUGGGUAAAAUGCAGGAGCAUCGAGCUGGAGACAAUUGUGCCCGUCGUGGAUCCAGAUUACCAACCAUUUGUGGUUGGUUCCGCAGAGGGUGUGGGUGUCAUCUUCAUCAACACAGAUGCUGGCUUAUUCACUCUAGAGCUCAAGUCAGGGCGAGUCAGGAAGGUUGACGAGCCCGCACACUACUUUAGCGUCCUGCCCUACAUGAGCUUCUACACUCCAGAUCGUGGCAUAUUGUUGGCGCUAUCGAAGACCCACUGA
rnacentral:rRNA from 1 species